UCUUUGUUGGGAUGAGAAACUCCUGAAGCAUAUACCUGGUAAAACGUUCGACUAUAUAACUGUUUUAGUAAGUGGUUUUCCGAAUUGCCCAAAAGGUAAAAUUUUAUCUGUAAAACCUAUUCAGUCUGGUACCGGAAUUUCUAUCUGUAGAGGAAUUAUAGAAGAUUAAGAAUAAUGAGAUCUUAAGAAAAAUAUUGUUGCCCAAGUUUUUAAUACAGCAACUUGUAAUACUUGAGUGAGAAACGGAGUAGCAAAUCUUCUUGAGGAAACCAAAUCUAUGAAAACGCUUCUUUGGCUUGCAUGUCGCUGUCAUGUUUCAGAGCUGGUUCUCGGGUCAUUUCGGAAUGCUUUGUUUCAAAAGGAGACAACAUUGAUGAUAAUAUUGAUUAUUUGACGAUAAAGCAUUGUAAAAAAAAAUGUUAAAUUAUGAAAAAAACCACUUGGUAUCAAUUGCGGUAAACCAACUCUUCAUUAAUUAAAAAAAUUCUGAAAUAUUUUCUUAUAUUGGGAAAAAUGUCUUGGUUGAUUUUUCACAACAUAAAAGAUGAUGGAAAAUGGCUCAAAACUCCUUCAUCGGAAUAGGACGAGAAUACUAACUAUUUGAAGAUGAAGCUAUUUGUCAAAACUUUAAAGGUUCGACGCGGCUGAGAGAGGAAUCAAGUUGUGUUCCAAUUGCCUUCAAAUACUUACAAAGGAUGAAGCUGUACGAAACGAUGUUUUUAAUGUGGUCGAAAAUCACAGAAAAAUUGUUGGCAAUACAAAUAAGUAGCGGUUAUUUGCUGAUUUAGCGCAGUACAAAUAACUGUUUUUAUUACACUUUUUUAUAGAAUAAAAUAUCUAGCAUUA